rnacentral:misc_RNA from 1 species
GAUGAAGAACGUAGCGAAAUGCGAUACGUAAUGUGAAUUGCAAAUUCAGUGAAUCAUCGAGUCUUUGAACGCACAUUGCGCCCCCUGGUAUUCCGGGGGGCAUGCCUGUCCGAGCGUCAUUGCUGCCCUCAAGCACGGCUUGUGUGUUGGGCCCCGUCCUCCGAUCGCGGGGGACGGGCCCGAAAGGCAGCGGCGGCACCGCGUCCGGUCCUCGAGCGUAUGGGGCUUUGUCACCCGCUCUGUAGGCCCGGCCGGCGCUUGCCGAUCAACCCAAAUUUUUUAUCCAGGUUGACCUCGGAUCAGGUAGGGAUACCCGCUGAACUUAAGCAUAUCAAUAAGCGGAGGA